AACCCUGAUGCAGCUAUACCGUGUGUGUGAAGAAGGCCUUAGGGUUGUAAAGCACUUUCAAGGGGGAAGAAUUUAAUAUUGCUAAUAUCGAUAUUAAUUGACGUUACCUAUAUAAGAAGCACCGGCUAACUCCGUGCCAGCAGCCGCGGUAAUACGGAGGGUGCGAGCGUUAAUCGGAAUUACUGGGCGUAAAGAGUACAUAGGUGGUUUGUUAAGUCAGAUGUGAAAUCCCUGAGCUUAACUUAGGAACUGCAUUUGAAACUAAUAAACUAGAGUUUCGUAGAGGGGGGUAGAAUUCCAGGUGUAGCGGUGAAAUGCGUAGAGAUCUGGAGGAAUACCAGUGGCGAAGGCGACCCCCUGGACGGAAACUGACACUCAGGUACGAAAGCAUGGGGAGCAAACAGGAUUAGAUACCCUGGUAGUCCAUGCCGUAAACGAUGUCGAUUUGAA
rnacentral:rRNA from 1 species